GCCGUUCUGUCAGUGACAAUGACAUCCGGAAGUAUGAGAUGUUUGCUCAGACCCUUCAGCAGAGUCGGGGCUUUGGCAGCUUCAGAUUCCCUUCAGGAAACCAAGGUGGAGCUGGCCCCAGUCAGGGCAGUGGAGGCGGCACAGGUGGCAGUGUGUACACGGAAGACAAUGAUGAUGACCUGUAUGGCUAAGUGGUGGUGGCCAGCAUGCAGCGAGCUGGCCUGGCUGGACCUUGUUCCCUGAGGGUGGGGGCGCUUACCCAGGAGGGACCAGGGGUGUGCCCAUGGCCUGCUCCAUUCCUCAGUCUGAACAGUUCAGCUACAGUCAGACUCUGGACAGGGGGUUUCUGUUGCAAAAAAAUACAAAACAAAAGAGAUAAAAUAAAAGCGAUUUUCAUUUGGGAGGCGGAGAGUGAAUUACCAACAGGGAAUUGGGCCUUGGGCCUACGCCAUUUCUGUUGUAGUUUGGGGCAGUGCAGGAGACCUGUGUGGUUGUGAACCAAGGCACCACCGCCACUCCCCACAGUAAAGCAUCUGCACUUCACUCAGUGCUACCCAAGCCUUCCCUUCUUCCCUCUACCCAACCUGGGCAGGAGGAUGAAGGGCCACAGUUGCUGGGUGUUUAUAUAGAGAGUAGGUUGAUUUUAUUUUACAUGCUUUUGAGUUAAUGUUGGAAAACUAAUCACAAGCAGUUUCUAAACCAAAAAUGACAUGUUGUAAAAGGACAAUAAACGUUGGGUCAAAAUGGAGCGUGA